CGCGCCGGGCCGGGCCCAGAAUGGGGGGGAUACGGGGUCGCAGCCCCUUCCGUGAGCCUGGAGGCUCAGCGGCGAGGAGUUCCGCAGGGCAGGAGUGCACGGUCCGCAGGCGUCAGAGAGAAGAGGAAGUUAAGGAUCAGGAGUUACGUAAAUUGCCCUCAGAGGCAAAGAGGAGGCCCGGAAUCCCAGACUCUUUUCCCACCACCUUCUGGGCACCCUUGGCCUUUCCCAGUCUCUCCCCACCCCGUCUCUUCAUCACGCUGUUUGAGCUGGUCAGUGGGAGAGCCAGGACCACCCAGGUGGCUUCACCAUCAUGCAGUUUGUCCUUGAGGAAGAGGAAGCUGCUAGACCAGUGGUGGAGUCCCUCCAGCCUACUUCCUCUAAAACAGAACCAGCAAAUUCUGCUUUGGUGGCUGAAGCAGAUGUCACUGACCUCCUAAGGGGACUCUUCAGACAGUGAGUAACACUUUACAACUUUCAGGGAAGAGAGAGUCCAAGGUCCAGCCUUCUGGGGUUACUAGCCAUCAGGGUCCACCGAUUCCCUCUGCUGCUCCGCCGUCUCCCUGCAGGGGGCGCAGGCGGGCAGAGAAGGAGCCUGAUCGCCGCCGCCCUCUGCGGCAGCUCAUUUUCAUUCAUUUUCUUUAAAUGCUUCUUGCUCUGUUUUUAAAUCUAAUUUUUCAGCUGCUUUUUUAUCUUCACUCAAGUUGCUUUAAUGAAACGAAAAUGUGUCUGUUUCCCUCUGCUGGAGCUGCCUGGGGAAUUUCAAUAUAAAACAAACAAGUUGGCUUUUAAAAUUAAAAUUUUAUGGGUGGCAUUUCCUCAUUUAAUGGGAGGCACAAAAGGCUGGAGUAAAACCAAUUAACACGGGGUUGGGACUUGGUGUUCAGCAAAAUUAAGCAGCAGGAGCGCAGUGUGCUGGGAGCCGUUUGUGCGGGGCUGGGGGAGGUGCGCACACAGGUGGCCUGGAGAGUGGUGGCCUCCCAGCACCUCUGUGCACUGGGGAUGGAUCUGCACACGUACGUGAAGACCUCGCCCCCUCCACUCCUUGCCUGGACACCUGCUCUGUACAUUCAGAUGGCAGGAGAUCACGGUGAGGAACAAACAGAGGGAUGGCUGCUUUGGAUUCCUGGGGUCCUGGACACUGGAGUUUGGAGAGGCAUCCGUGAAAGUACCUAAGACUUCUGCAAAGGCCAGGAAUCACUCGGGAAUUAACCGCCCCCCGGGGACAAUAUGAGUCCUAUCCUGUCUUGAUCAUGGCUGUGCCCCAGGGCCCAGACAGAACCAGGAGUGGUAGGUGCUCCAAACACACACGAUGACUGAACGAAUGACUUCAUUUGGGCAAACAGUAUUAACGGAACUCAGCAGUGAAUCACUCAGAGUUCUUAUCGCCCAGUGCACAGAUCUUUCUUUUUUGGUGGGGGGUGGGUAGAAAAGAUGAAAAUGUCACAGGUUCUGGGGAGGAAGGGGUCAGUCAUGGUGGGACCACCGUGUGGGAAGGAUUUUGUGAAACCAGCAAAGGCAGAGUGAAUUGCACCAGAGAAGAAGACAGCCAGGCCAGUGGUCUGGCAGGAGCAAAGGACUAGAGGUGAGACGUGGAUGUGGCUGAAUCUGGCUAGAAAGUAGGGUGUGUACAAGCCGUGGAAUCCGGGGAGGUCGGAGGCAGCGAGGUUGUGAUGUGUGGGAUGAGGAAGUUCACUUUACUUUAUCUUGUGGGCAGUGGGGCUCCCUUGCAGGUUCCAAAGCAGAUUGGUAUGUGCUCAGAGGUGGUUUCCGGGAGACUGCUUCUGGUGGCCUGUUGGGGGGGAGGGAAGAAUCCAGCCUGGUGGGGUAGACUUGGUCCAGGCUGAGCUGAGGACCUCAGGCUGGGGGCCCAGGGAAUGAUGGGGCCCUACUCUAAGCUGGGAAGUCCUGGCAGAGGAGCAGGUUAAAAAAGUGGAGGUAUUCAGUGUGGCCACAAACGCCCACUCCGAAUGUGGACCUGAUUGUGCUGAGGACCCAGGAAGUAGAUUCACACUGACAGUUACAGCCCAGUCCUGUUAGUACUGGGCCCUGAUGCCACAGCAUCCAGGAAACCCCCAGGAAAACAGGAUUUACAGCUUCAGAGAAAGGGCCUGGGCCAACUCUUUGGCUCCCUUCAUCUCCCUCCUCCCCUGGGGCAGCUUUCUCCCCACCCUUUCUGCCCUCUGACCCCUGAGUCUGUGGCGAGGGUCACUCUGUUACUGGAAUCCCCAGAGCUAUGGGGAAAGCUGAGUGUCCCACCUGCUUGGAGUAAAGAAAUCCAGCUAGUUUCCAUGGCCACCGCCAGCAUCCUUAGUCUUCCCCAGUCAGGGCUUCAGACCCACAAAUGAACUCCUGGACAGAGUCCUGCAGGCCCCAGACAGUCCUCCAGGAGGGGUGUGGACAGUGGGUACCGAGUCCUGGCUCUCUUGGGAAGGUAUCUUUGAGAGAACAUCUGAGGUCGGAGGAAGGGGUUUCCUGGUGUGAGUCAGUGCUCUGACCUGUGCCCAUCGAAGGGUUCCCCUGGGUCCAGUCUGAGGAUCCUGGUGAAGGUCUCUUUGAGACCAAUUUGAGAAGUCUGUGGUUUAUUUGUAAGUCUCUUUGAGGCCUGUUUGAAGGCCUAAAGACUGGGUUGGCCCGAGGGCCAAUAGCAUAAAACCAAAAAAAUGGCCCAAGGCUAAGUCUGACAUUGACCUUCUCCCUCUGGAUAACAGAGUAAACCUGGCCAAGCUUGAAGUAGGUUCUUAUGGCCAGGGGGCUGGUGGAGAGGCUGGUGUCUUUUCUUUAGUGAUAGAUGAAGUUUACCCCAAACCACAAAACACUUGGCCAGAGCCCCCACUCUAUCCCAACAACCAGCAGGCUGACUUUGACCAAUCUGGCAAAAGCAACACAGUGCUUGAGCAUCACACCACCUGUCUAUCUUACUGGGGAGAAAGACAGCAUGUGUCCUAUCUAAAAUGGGUUUUUGAGUAUGAAUAGGAGUUCACCUAGUGAACCAAGUGGUAAGGACCAUACCGGCUGAGUGACAUUGGUGAAGACACAGAAAUGUGGAACAGUUCUCUGUAGGCCAAGAGAGCUACAAGUAUGUCAGUUUUCCUUGCAAGAGAUAGGCCGACCAGUAUCACACAAAAUAAAGUAAGAGAGAGGGCUUUGCAAACUGUAGAGUGCUACACAAAAUGAGGCAUUGCUGUUACCACCCAUCUCUCGCCUUUUGUCAUGGGAACCAGAUGAGUCGAAGCGUGUGAAGUUGCAUUGUAAACUGGAAAGUAUUUAUGAAAAUGUUAAUUAAUGUAUUUAGAGAGUAGGUAGAUUAAGUGUGAGGAUGUGGAGAUGGAGUAGACAAUUAAAAUAUCUGCUAAUUUCUCUCUUGAAUUCACAUUUUAGGAAAUGUUUAUAAACUGAGAAUUCUAAUUACUUUUCUCCCUCGCACCUCUUUUCAGAUGAGUACACUGUAAGAGAGUUAUAGUAGCUAUUAAAAAUAUUGUGAAUUUCCUGGUAGAUCAGUUGGGACUCUUUAUAUAACAAGUAGCAGAAGACCGAGCGCCAACUGGCUUGCCCAGUAAAAGGAACGUGUAGUUUUUAUGUGAUUUGAAAGUCCAAAGGUAGCAUAAACCUCAAGGUAGGCUGGAUCUAGAGUUCAUUACUCUGACGCUCAGGCCUGCUUCUCUAUGUCGGAUACCAAAAGCUCCUCCAGAUCUUGGGGUUCCCUUUGGCCAACCAUCCAACAGAAUUCCUGAGCUUCACUUCUGAUUGGAGUAACUUAGGUCAUGUGGAUGGGGAAUGCCAGGGCUUGUUUGGCUUAGGUCUGGAUCAAGUGUCCAUCCCUAAAACAAUCAUUGUGGUACAAGCAUGGGCAUCCAUCAUCCCUGGUCACUCCUGUGGACCACUGGGCUCCAGGCAUGCAGACCUGGAGUCGUGGUCGGUUUCUUGCCUCAUUGCUGAUUUCAGCAUCUAAACUCUCUCUUCCCUGCACCUCUUCCUUUGCAGGCAAGAUGCUGGUCCAGGCCUUGUCUCAUCACCCCACAUUGCAGGGUUUUUUUUUUUUUUUCCAGAUGCUUACUCAGUCCCUAGCCUCUUUGCUUGCCAGUGAAUUUUUCUUGGUAGCUGCUCGAAAGCUCGACACUUUUAAUCAUAGCAAAGAACACAUAUUACAGCCAUUGUGAUAAGACAGAAAGCAUGAUUGCAAAAUUUAGCUAUGGGAAAAUUAUCAUCGUUUUCCAGAGACCCAAUUUUAUCACCAGAAAACCCAAUAAAAUUAACUCAAAACAAUUAAUUAUGGCAAAUAAAGGAGUUUAGUGAGGUGUCAGAAACAAAAUAAUAAAAUGAAAAAAGUUCUUUUCUGUAACAACAAUAAUUCAGUUUUAAACUAUUGUGGUAGGUUAUCUGGAGAAGAGAGUUUUUGCUUUUUUUUUUUAACUUAAUGAAGAUGCUCAUUUGGGGAUUGUUGGUUUCUGGAAACCGUGUUGGUUUCCAGAGAUAGAGAUACAUAUGACCUUGAAUUAGAUCCCUCCCCACCCAAGAUGUGUCCUGUAGACAAACAAGCAAACACUACUUGUUUUUCUAGGAGGAGGCCUGGAAGAAGGAAUCUAGGUGCAAGAAGGCAAAUUGAGAUGGUAAAUAUUCUGUUUUGUGAUGACUGCAUUUAAGCAGUUUGCUAUAGAUGUGACCUGGGUUUAUUGCCUGGGGUGGGAGCAGAGAACACUAAGGAUUUUCAGAUGGAGACAG